GAUGAAGAACGUAGCGAAAUGCGAUAAGUAAUGUGAAUUGCAGAAUUCAGUGAAUCAUCGAGUUUUUGAACGCAUAUUGCGCCCUCAGGUAUUCCGGGGGGCAUGCCUGUUCGAGCGUCAUUAAAUAACCCUCAAGCAUAGCUUGGUGUUGGGCUUUUUUACGUCCUUGACUGGGAUGGGCCUAAAAAUUAGUGGCGAUGGCUUUUUUACUUUCAAGCGUAGUAAAUCUCGUCUUGCUAAAGAGGAAAAAGAUUUUUUUUCUGCCAAAAAUUUUAACAUUUAAAGUUGACCUCGGAUCAGGUAGGAUUACCCGCUGAACUUAAGCAUAUCAAUAAGCGGAGGA
rnacentral:misc_RNA from 1 species